CCUACGGGAGGCAGCAGUGGGGAAUAUUGGACAAUGGGGGCAACCCUGAUCCAGCCAUGCCGCGUGUGUGAAGAAGGCCCUCGGGUUGUAAAGCACUUUCAGUGAGGAAGAACGCCUGGUGGUUAAUACCCAUCAGGAAAGACAUCACUCACAGAAGAAGCACCGGCUAACUCCGUGCCAGCAGCCGCGGUAAUACGGAGGGUGCGAGCGUUAAUCGGAAUUACUGGGCGUAAAGCGCGCGUAGGUGGCUUGAUAAGCCGGUUGUUAAAGCCCCGGGCUCAACCUGGGAACGGCAUCCGGAACUGUCAAGCUAGAGUGCAGGAGAGGAAGGUAGAAUUCCCGGUGUAGCGGUGAAAUGCGUAGAGAUCGGGAGGAAUACCAGUGGCGAAGGCGGCCUUCUGGACUGACACUGACACUGAGGUGCGAAAGCGUGGGUAGCAAACAGGAUUAGAUACCCCGGUAGUC
rnacentral:rRNA from 1 species